GAACGUGCCCAGUCGUGGGGGAUAACGCAGCGAAAGCUGUGCUAAUACCGCAUACGAUCUCUGGAUGAAAGCGGGGGACUCUGCAAAGAGCCUCGCGCGAUUGGAGCGGCCGAUAUCAGAUUAGCUAGUUGGCGGGGUAAAAGCCCACCAAGGCUACGAUCUGUAGCUGGUCUGAGAGGACGACCAGCCACACUGGAACUGAGACACGGUCCAGACUCCUACGGGAGGCAGCAGUGGGGAAUUUUGGACAAUGGGCGCAAGCCUGAUCCAGCAAUGCCGCGUGCAGGAUGAAGGCCUUCGGGUUGUAAACUGCUUUUGUACGGAGCGAAACGGUCUGCCCUAAUACGGCAGGCUAAUGACGGUACCGUAAGAAUAAGCACCGGCUAACUACGUGCCAGCAGCCGCGGUAAUACGUAGGGUGCGAGCGUUAAUCGGAAUUACUGGGCGUAAAGCGUGCGCAGGCGGUUAUAUAAGACAGAUGUGAAAUCCCCGGGCUCAACCUGGGAC
rnacentral:rRNA from 1 species